GCCUCUGUGGUGUAGCGGUUUGAGCACUGGACUAAGACUCUAGAGACCAGGGUUCGAAUCCUGCCUCAGCCA